rnacentral:rRNA from 1 species
GAUGAACGCUGGCGGUCUGCUUAACACAUGCAAGUCGAACGGAGUACUUCGGUACUUAGUGGCGGACGGGUGAGUAACGCGUGAGAAUCUGCCCAUAGGAUAGGGACAACAGUUGGAAACGACUGCUAAUACCUGAUGUGCCGAGAGGUGAAACUUUUAUGGCCUGUGGAUGAGCUCGCGUCUGAUUAGCUAGUUGGUGGGGUAAGAGCUUACCAAGGCGACGAUCAGUAGCUGGUCUGAGAGGAUGAUCAGCCACACUGGAACUGAGACACGGUCCAGACUCCUACGGGAGGCAGCAGUGGGGAAUUUUCCGCAAUGGGCGAAAGCCUGACGGAGCAAGACCGCGUGGGGGAUGAGGUUUGUGGAUUGUAAACCCCUUUUGAUUGGGAAGAAUAACUGACGGUACCAAUCGAAUAAGCCUCGGCUAACUCCGUGCCAGCAGCCGCAGUAAAAC